GAGUACCUACGGGAGGCAGCAGUGGGGAAUAUUGGGCAAUGGGCGCAAGCCUGACCCAGCAACGCCGCGUGAAGGAAGAAGGCUUUCGGGUUGUAAACUUCUUUUAUGAGGGACGAAACAAAUGACGGUACCUCAUGAAUAAGCCACGGCUAACUACGUGCCAGCAGCCGCGGUAAUACGUAGGUGGCAAGCGUUAUCCGGAUUUACUGGGUGUAACGGGCGUGUAGGCGGGACUGCAAGUCAGAUGUGACAAUUAUGGGCUCAACCCAUCACCUGCAUUUGAACCUGUAGUUCUUGAGUGAUGG
rnacentral:rRNA from 1 species